rnacentral:rRNA from 1 species
UAUGGCUCUGGGCUUCGAUUUGACGCUGGCGGCAGGCCUAACACAUGCAAGUCGAACGGUAACAGGAAGCAGCUUGCUGCUUCGCUGACGAGUGGCGGACGGGUGAGUAAUGUCUGGGAAACUGCCUGAUGGAGGGGGAUAACUACUGGAAACGGUGGCUAAUACCGCAUAACGUCGCAAGACCAAAGAGGGGGACCUUCGGGCCUCUUGCCAUCAGAUGUGCCCAGAUGGGAUUAGCUUGUUGGUGAGGUAACGGCUCACCAAGGCGACGAUCCCUAGCUGGUCUGAGAGGAUGACCAGCCACACUGGAACUGAGACACGGUCCAGACUCCUACGGGAGGCAGCAGUGGGGAAUAUUGCACAAUGGGCGCAAGCCUGAUGCAGCCAUGCCGCGUGUAUGAAGAAGGCCUUCGGGUUGUAAAGUACUUUCAGCGGGGAGGAAGGUGUUGUGGUUAAUAACCGCAGCAAUUGACGUUACCCGCAGAAGAAGCACCGGCUAACUCCGUGCCAGCCGCCGCGGUAAUU